rnacentral:rRNA from 1 species
GAUGAACGCUGGCGGCGUGCCUAAUACAUGCAAGUCGAGCGAAUGACGACGAGCUUGCUCCUCUGAUUUAGCGGCGGACGGGUGAGUAACACGUGGGUAACCUGCCUGUAAGACGGGGAUAACUCCGGGAAACCGGAGCUAAUACCGGAUGAUAACGAGAAGCGCCUGCUUCUUUUUUGAAAGUCGGUUUCGGCUGACGCUUACAGAUGGGCCCGCGGCGCAUUAGCUAGUUGGUGAGGUAACGGCUCACCAAGGCGACGAUGCGUAGCCGACCUGAGGGGGUGAUCGGCCACACUGGGACUGAGACACGGCCCAGACUCCUACGGGAGGCAGCAGUAGGGAAUCUUCGGCAAUGGACGAAAGUCUGACCGAGCAACGCCGCGUGAGCGAUGAAGGCCUUCGGGUCGUAAAGCUCUGUUGUCAGAGAAGAACAAGUAUCGGAGUAACUGCCGGUACCUUGACGGUACCUGACCAGAAAGCCACGGCUAACUACGUGCCAGCAGCCGCCGUAAGAC